rnacentral:piRNA from 1 species
AAGGGUCACCCAGGUGGUACUGGUUU